GAUGAACGCUAGCGGCAGGCCUUACACAUGCAAGUCGAACGGUAACAGGAAUUAGCUUGCUAAUUUGCUGACGAGUGGCGCACGGGUGCGUAACGCGUAUACAAUCUGCCUUUUACAGGGGGAUAGCCCAGAGAAAUUCGGAUUAAUACCCCAUGGUAUUAUCAGAUGGCAUCUGAAGAUAAUUAAAGAUUCAUUGGUAAAGGAUGGGCAUGCGUGACAUUAGUUAGUUGGUAAGGUAACGGCUUACCAAGACGAUGAUGUCUAGGGGUUCUGAGAGGAAGAUCCCCCACACUGGUACUGAGACACGGACCAGACUCCUACGGGAGGCAGCAGUAGGGAAUAUUGGGCAAUGGAGGCAACUCUGACCCAGCCAUGCCGCGUGCAGGAAGACAGCUUUCUGAGUUGUAAACUGCUUUUAUAUAGGAACAAAGAGGCCAUGCGUGGCAAGUUGCGUGUACUAUAUGAAUAAGCACCGGCUAACUCCGUG
rnacentral:rRNA from 1 species